rnacentral:rRNA from 1 species
UACGUAGGGGGCGAGCGUUGUCCGGAUUUAUUGGGCGUAAAGAGCGUGUAGGCGGCUUGGUAGGUCUGCUGUGAAAACUCGGGGCUCAACCCCGAGACGUCGGUGGAAACCACCUGGCUAGAGUCCGGAAGAGGAGAGUGGAAUUCCUGGUGUAGCGGUGAAAUGCGCAGAUAUCAGGAAGAACACCGGUGGCGAAGGCGGGUCUCUGGGCCGAUACUGACGCUGAGGAGCGAAAGCGUGGGGAGCGAACAGG